GACACAGCCAAAGAGUUCUGAAUUAUUGUUCUGAAAUAUUUUGUUGGCCUUUCUUUCUCCUUGGCUCUGAAAAGUGAUUGUGAUGCCAGCGGAGAGGAAGAAAGAGAGAGAGGCGAUGAACAACUGUGGGCUGAGAUUGAUUAGCUCACAAGGGCAACUCUUUCCUAGGAUGGGACAAGAGCUGGAUGAGGACAACAACACCUCUUUCCUGCUUCAGUAGAUGCCUGAAACACUGUUGGAAGAACAUUUGGAAUGAGUUUCACCUAACACAAAGCCAUCUUUCUGUCUGGCUCUCCUCUUCAAUAAACUGCAACCUUCUUUCUAAAGCAGUCGCCAUGUUGUUUAUUCCUGGCUUGGACUGAACCAUGAUGAAGACUUUUCCUUCAACACUUAUUAAGGAGCUCCAGGAAGAUUAUAGG